UACAGAGGGUGCAAGCGUUAAUCGGAAUUACUGGGCGUAAAGCGUGCGUAGACGGUUAUGUAAGUCAGGUGUGAAAGCCCCGAGCUUAACUUGGGAAGUGCUUUUGAUACUGCAGAGCUUGAAUGUGGGAGAGGGUAGUGGAAUUCCAGGUGUAGUGGUGAAAUACGUAGAUAUCUGGAGGAACACCGGUGGCGAAGGCGGCUACCUGGCCCAACAUUGACGCUGAGACCCGAAAGCAUGGGGAUCAAACAGG
rnacentral:rRNA from 1 species